UGGGGAAUUUUGGACAAUGGGGGAAACCCUGAUCCAGCCAUCCCGCGUGUGCGAUGAAGGCCUUCGGGUUGUAAAGCACUUUUGGCAGGAAAGAAACGUCAUGGGUUAAUACCCCGUGAAACUGACGGUACCUGCAGAAUAAGCACCGGCUAACUACGUGCCAGCAGCCGCGGUAAUACGUAGGGUGCAAGCGUUAAUCGGAAUUACUGGGCGUAAAGCGUGCGCAGGCGGUUCGGAAAGAAAGAUGUGAAAUCCCAGAGCUCAACUUUGGAACUGCAUUUUUAACUACCGGGCUAGGGGGUGUCAGAGGGAGGUGGAAUUCCGCGUGGAGCAGUGAAAUGCGUAGAUAUGCGGAGGAACACCGAUGGCGAAGGCAGCCGCCUGGGAUAACACUGACGCUCAUGCACGAAAGCGUGGGGAGCAAACAGG
rnacentral:rRNA from 1 species